GACGAACGCUGGCGGCGUGCCUAAUACAUGCAAGUAGAACGCUGAAGAGAGGAGCUUACUCUUCUUGGAUGAGUUGCGAACGGGUGAGUAACGCGUAGGUAACCUGCCUUGUAGCGGGGGAUAACUAUUGGAAACGAUAGCUAAUACCGCAUAACAAUGGAUGACACAUGUCAUUUAUUUGAAAGGGGCAAUUGCUCCACUACAAGAUGGACCUGCGUUGUAUUAGCUAGUAGGUGAGGUAAUGGCUCACCUAGGCGACGAUACAUAGCCGACCUGAGAGGGUGAUCGGCCAAACUGGGACUGAGACAAGGCCCAGACUCCUACGGGAGGCAGCAGUAGGGAAUCUUCGGCAAUGGGGGCAACCCUGACCGAGCAACGCCGCGUGAGUGAAGAAGGUUUUCGGAUCGUAAAGCUCUGUUGUAAGUCAAGAACGGGUGUGAGAGUGGAAAGUUCACACUGUGACGGUAGCUUACCAGAAAGGGACGGCUAACUACGUG
rnacentral:rRNA from 1 species